AAGAAGAAGAAGAAGAAGAAGAAUAAGAAUAGGAGGAGAAAAAGAGGAGGGGAGUAGGAGGAGAAAAAAGAAGAAGAAGAAGAAGAAGAAGAAGAAUAAGAAGAAGAAGAACAAGAAGAAGAAGAAGAAAAGAAGAAGAAGAAGNAGAAGAAGAAGAAGAAAAAGAGGAGAGAGGAGAAGAACAAAGAAGAGGAAAAGGGAACCCAGGCACCCCGAAACUGACCCUCGACCCCCGAUCCCGGACGCCCGACGCCACUGAC
rnacentral:lncRNA from 1 species